rnacentral:rRNA from 1 species
AUUGAACGCUGGCGGCAGGCUUAACACAUGCAAGUCGAGCGGAGAUGAGGUGCUUGCACCUUAUCUUAGCGGCGGACGGGUGAGUAAUGCUUAGGAAUCUGCCUAUUAGUGGGGGACAACAUUCCGAAAGGAAUGCUAAUACCGCAUACGUCCUACGGGAGAAAGCAGGGGAUCUUCGGACAUUGCGCUAAUAGAUGAGCCUAAGUCGGAUUAGCUAGUUGGUGGGGUAAAGGCCUACCAAGGCGACGAUCUGUAGCGGGUCUGAGAGGGUGACCCGCCACACUGGAACUGAGACACGGCCCAGACUCCUUCGGGAGGCAGCAGUGGGGAAUAUUGGACAAUGGGGGGAACCCUGAUCCAGCCAUGCCGCGUGUGUGAAGAAGGCCUUAUGGUUGUAAAGCACUUUAAGCGAGGAGGAGGCUACUGAGACUAAUACUCUUGGAUAGUGGACGUUACUCGCAGAAUAAGCACCGGCUAACUCUGUGCCAGCCGCCGCCGUAAAAC